AAACCCAGUGACAACACUCGGGGCUGCAGCUGCCAUUUUCCGGUGGGAAAGAGAAAUAGCCCUGCAUUUACCAGAAAAGGUAGCUCAUCCAUCAUGGCAGAAGAGGAAGAUCCAGACGGUUGAUUGGGAAACAAGAACAAACAAUGAGUCCAUCCGGUGCAUGGACACCAGGUGCCAGUGUGUUCCGGUUGUGGAGACAACAGCAAAUCAAGCCUGUGGACAAACAGGGACACUUGACCUUCACCACUGCUGUGACCAUCCGGUGAGGCUCCCAGGAUCCCAGACUCAGUGACCCAAAGCCAUGACUCCAGCACAUCCAUCCCUGUAGACAUUUUGAAUGCCUUGAUGCCCUCCUUUUCGUUAUAUGUGCCCCACUUUAUAGACAACACCGCAUCCAACGACUGAACACCUUGAAAUGCAUUUGUUGUAAGAAAUGUGCUAUAUAAAUACGUUUGAUUUGAUUGAUGACAUUACAGCUGUAGAAUAUGAGGACAAGUACAGUUUUUCCAUAAACUUUUAAGUAAGAACUUGGGAUUUUAUGACAUAUCAAUCAUAUAUUGGGAAGGAUCCCAU
ensembl:lncRNA